CCGGCUCUACGAAGUUCCCUCAAUGCAUUCCCAUGCAGAGUGACAUUUUUAAUUGCCCAGUGCCCAGUGCGAGCGAGAGAGGGCGAGAGAUGAUACGAACGGCGACGGCGCAUCUCUCGAUUUCUUCGAGUGCCAGCUAUCGGGAACACAGGGAUUACACGUAGUGCCAUCUCCCAGUUGGAGCUUUUGCGUCCAGGACUUCUCUCUCCCGUUCGGGGAGCUUUGUUUCAGUUCCUUGCAGCUCCUUGGCCAGACAACUUUUCCCUUAGCUUUAGAGACACAUCGAAGGCAUCAUCAUCAGCUGCAAUCCAUUUGCGUAUAAAGAAGAAGCCUCGGACAACUCGUUACCAUAUGCCCAGCUCUCGAUUAUUUUUUGCGCGCCAAAAAAAAAGUGGAGAGACAAGCACUUAAGAAAACAACAGGAUGGUGAGGAAGUCCUGAAGACGAGGCCGCCGAAGAAGACAACCCUUGAGCAACCCUUUAUUACGCUUUUCGGCAAGGUCAACUAUCUAUCCGUGUAGGCAAAUUGCAUAUAGGCAAAUCCGAAUCUCCCGUGGAUGCAACCCAACCAUUUAUCAUUUUCUUUCUGUUCUCUUUUUCGUGUGGCCCUCCUGCAAUUUCAAUUUUUGCAAUUUUGCAUGCAGCGGCCGUUAAAAAAGUCUCUGGUAUGCAAUCAGGGCGCUUAUCCUUUGGGUCUUCGGCCCGAAUCCUUUCACUUUCGCUACCUACGAACCGAGACAAGCUGGCAGGGCAAUUCGGAAGUAGAGUUUGCCAAAAUUCCAGCACACACACGCACAUCCUUGCUGUCAUAUGCAAAUUAGCACAGCCAAAAUAGAAAAUUUCUGCGUCCCGCCAAAAAACACAGACCAGCAGCAACCAAAAAAAUAAAGUAAAAAUGCGAACGGAGCACAAAAUGGCAAUUGUUGUCGAAAAGGGUAGAAGAACGACCCAUCGCCCCGUUUUCGGUUUAAAUGCAUUUUUGGUGCGCCUCAUUGGCUUUUGGCAUUGAGGCCCGACGCCCAACUGUCAAUGAGACCGCGCAAAGGGCAAAUAUGCAAAUUAGUUAGCAUUUUUUCCCUUUUAUUUAUUAACUAAUUUAUCUCUGCGGCGCUGUGACACGUCCCAUAGGCAGAGCGAACCCGUCAGGGUCGUGAAUUAUUGGCGAAUGACAUAGAGGAGGUACGAAAAAGCGUUGCAACACCUGGACACAAUUUUUUUUACAACUUUUUUUUUGCCUUUAUGUGGGGUAAGCGUCGCUUUCAACGCUCGUUAAGUAGUUAAGUAGGUUAUGAUAAAGCCGAUUGUAGAAGAAUAGUUCAAAAUGUCCUUAAAUCUACUGGGGUAAAUUUAAGAGCUAUGAACAUGAACAUGUAUAAAUGUAAACUUAGAUAAUAAUAUCCAAAACUCGCUGAAAAUUAUAUAAAUAAGUUAGAAACAAUUUUACCCAUCAGAUAAACAAUAUAUGUUUGGAACAUAAAAUCAGAUCAAUUUUCGUUUUAAAGGCCAAAACUUGCAUCUGCUUAACUCACUUUCGAGAUUUGAGUUUAAUAGUUUGGAUUUUGGUUUCAUUAUUUGGGAAAACUCCAGAUAAAGAGAAAAUCUAGAAAAAUAAAUAAUUCAUUAAGGCGUUAAAUCUCCAUAAACUUCACUUUUGUGUGCUGUCCUCUCACUUUCAAUCGGCUCGAAAUGCAAACCAAAGCACUCAGUCACUGAAAACCCAACCCAAGAAUGAUGGCUGGAAAAUGGAAAAUGUAUGAAAAUUAAAACUCUGUUCACACCCACCGAAGUGGCGACAGGAAAUUCAACGAAAUACAUACAAGCCGGGCGGCAAAGGGAAAAACAUAUGUCAAUAAAAAUCUCUUUUCAUGGAACAUUUGCAUAAUGCAGUCAAAAGGGCAACGCGUUCUCCGACUCUUCCUUUUCCUGUGCCCAGGUGACUGGGACUUCAAACAGAGCCCAAACUUGCAAACUAUGGCACAACUACGGCACGCAUGUUGGUUGGUUUCCUUCGAAAAACAGAAAAACUGAAAAAAACGAUUGCGUCAAACGAUAUCCAUCGCAUUUCGAGGGGUCGUGGCCUUUUAGGCCCAGGGGUGCAUAUCAUUAGCGACAAAAACAGUGGCACACAUUUUCCGACUGACACUUUUUUCCUGGCACACCAAAUGCCUCCUGGCACAUCAAAGGCCAAUCAACUCGUCCAAUUGUUUUUAUGCCCCGAGUUCUUAGUGUUUUCGGUUCUUAUAGGAAGCGGAAGUGAACCCUUCUAACCCCUGACUUAGCCUUUCCACGAACCAUCUGCCCAAGGGGUGGGUUUUUCGACAGUCCGUGGUGAGUUUUCUCUGACCUUGCCAUAAAAAUUGCAAAUUGGAAAGUUUCGCUUAACCAAAUGAAAGAUUGUUUAGACUUUAUAUUUUAUUAUAUUUCAAUAAUGUAUGAUUUUGAUGAAAAACAACAUCAGUUUUACUUUUAUAUUUUUAGUCUACCAGGUAGGUAGGAUUUAAAUAAUAGAAACAUCACAACUUCCUUCAUUAUUGCAUAAUUUCUGUUUUUAUUUACAAGUCUGGUUAAAUGAAUUUUAAUUGAACCAUAAACGCCAUUUUUAUUGCGUAAGUCGCACGCGCCACGCCGAACCAAAUUGCGCAGAAAUUGCAAAUCGCCCAUAAGGCAUAAAUGAAAUUUUUAUAAUCGAAACGAUUGCCGAAAAACGCCCGAAAGUUGCGCAUGCGCCGAAUUUUGUGUUUUUGCCGCUGCCACUGAAAUUGCUUAUACUGUUACUGUUAUUGUUAUUAACUUUAGCUGACAGUGACAGGAGCGAAAAACUCAAAAUAAAAAACUUUGUGCCGACAAAGACUUGACGCCCUGACGUGACAUGGUCAACUUUAAUAUUUUUUUUGGUCGGGAGAUGUGGUCAGGAGUUCUUUGAUCUGCGGGCGGCUGACGGAGGUGGAUAUAGCACGUGCAGAAAGCCUCAGACGGCGAUGGUAUCUACUGAACCACUAUCCUCCAGAGAUGUGGCGAAAAUCAAAAGACUUCGGACACAAACGCGUUUUCAUUGAAACCGCUUUGAGCGCGAUGCUUUACACCUGAUAACCGACCAAAAAAGUAAGGCGAAAUAAAACGCGAAAAAAAUGGAGUAGUCUUUCCAUUGAGACCGCCACAGGACUGUGAUGUAAUCAGACUCUCAACCCCCCGCGCUCCUGCGAUUUGCCGUACGUGAUAUUGUUAAAAGCUUUUAAUUGAAGUCAUCUUCUUGCUCAAAACAGGUAGCUGCCCCCAAAGAGUUGUCUUCUUCUGCUGCCAUCGAUGUCGAGCAUUUUUAUGAUUAAACUAAUUUUUCUUUCCCCCAUAUAGCAGGUGAUGGUUCCCCGAGCUCUCCCGAUAUCCCGCCAUUCCUGUGCGUCCCUCUAGCCAAGUUAUUUUAAUAAACUGCGCGACGUGCCGAGCAUUCUGAAAUGCGAUCAGUUUCAAUUUUAUUAUUGCCGCUGCUGCGGUUGCUUCUGCUUUUCAGCAUUUCUGCUUUUAGAUUAUGUAGUUCCAGCACUUGUAAGUGUUGUUAGAAGCCAGCCCCGAAGAGGAGUGCCCCGGACACGGCUGACCAGGCCCAACGUGCUCAUUUAACAGUAGCCAGCAAACGUUCACAUUUCCCUGUUGUUUGUACCUCUUUGUAUAAUAAUUUAAAGCGGCGUAAAAAUAUUUUAAUGAUAAGAUAUAAUGGCCGUUCAGCUGGCGGAGGCGCUUCGCUUUUGGCCAAGUCAAACAAGGCGUUUAGAAGGGCCUUUUAAGUUGAAGACCGGCGCGGGCUAGGAAUUUUAACUUUGGUUUGGCUAAUAACAUAAUAAAAACCCUUUGAAACGAUGCGAUAGAUAUGAUUCGACAAUUGUAUAACAUGAUUUGAAUUAUUCAAAUUUCUUGCAUACCUCACGGUGCACUAAAGUUAUGAAAGUAUGUUGCAGUUAUUGGCAUUCCUACAAAUAGAUUUUUAGCACGCUUCUCAAAGAAUUAAAAAUUGGAAAGUUUUAUAUUUUUGGUUCCUAUCAUGACUUAUUUGUGCUAUUUUUCUUGUAAACUUCCUCUUUAGAAACACCAUCUAUUAUGCCCCUUUUUAAAAAAUGUUUGCAGUGAUUGUAGGCAACCUGUACACGAAGCUUAUUUAUUUUCCAAUCCUUACCCCCUGAAAUAAUUUAUGCGCUGCAAUGACACUUGCUCAUGACCUUAUCGACGUCGUCAUCGUCAUUGCAGUUGGGCCCGGACUUUGGCAACAACUUUGGCCAGCGGCAUACAUAUUUUUUUGGUUUUUGUUUUUGCUGUGGCCAGACCUAAGCGAAAAACCAAUAACAACAAUUAAGCACAUAUACACGACCAUGCACAACAACAAAGAGCACAGUUUUGCCAUGAAUUGUAUUGUUGCCAUUUUUCUUUAUGGUUUUAUGCGUUUUGGCAUAGAGUUCCAGCCAGAGUCGAAGGAUAGUUGGAUAUUGAGCAAAUAAAUCAAUUUAUUUCAAUUAUAAUUAUAGGCCCGAGUGCAGGCCGAAGCAGAGAGACUCCACUUCUCACUGCAUCCUUCUGCAGUUUUUUAUUUUUUCGUUCGCCUGCGGGUAAUGUUUUUUUCCCCCCUCUUUUUUACUGGGAGCGCGCGUGGCCAACUGCUCAUUACUUUUGUGGCAGCACACGCCCCGUUUUGGUUAUUGAGGCGUAGUUUUGGCCAAUUGUUGAAAAAUGAAAUGGUCUGGCACAUAGUUAUGCCCCGAUAUCGGAUCGGCAUCUCCCUCGCUUCUGGCUAGGCAUUCGUAUGUUACAUGGAGAUGUAAGAAUUCCAUUUUUGAUUUUAAUCAAUAGAAUCGCCGGUUAUUUAUACGCCAGCGCUACUUCACAACUUUAUUUGAAUGCCCCAGGGUUUGCUCUUUGAGCCCUCGAUUCGGUGGGUUUUUUCCUUAUUCGGCAAGGUUGCAAAUUAUAUGCAUUACGCAUACGCAGCGGGGAAGUCCUCCUGCUUCCAACUGCAGUGGCUUACGUUUUGUAAAUUAACUUAUAAGUGAAGCUCAGAAAAACAGGCUGCACCGAUGAGUGCGAUAAGUAAGCGGAAUUACCGAUGGAUUUAAACAACUUGUUAUAAGGUAGGCUCAAAAAUGAAUAAAAAAGAGUUUAUAAACAAAUAUUUAUUGUUUAAAAACUAUUUAAGCUAUUUAAAUAAAACCAUAUUAAUUCAAACAUUAUUUUAUAAUCAUAAUCAAUAAUCAAAUAUGUAAUUGGGUGACAAAUACUUUUCUUAGGUGAACAAAUAACUUAAAAUCAUAUAUGUAUCUAGCCUUUACCUUCUGACAUUCAGUAACCUUUAAGAAAAAGUCAAAGGCAAUCUGGAAUCUUAAUCUGGAAACUGUACUGCACCUGCUAUCCGCCAGUUGUCAACGCCAGUAGCUCGGGACCCAGUCUUCAGAAAUAGUUGUGGCCGUUCCAUAUCUAAAUAUACAAACGUACAGAUACCGGCUGCGAUGCCUUGCCAACCUGUCUCACAUUUCAAAAUACAUAAUUAAGUAUGCACAGCGAGUUUGUUAGAUAAAAAUCUUAAAAACCCUUAAAAAGCUUUAAGCGCCUAAGACACACACACUGGAAAUUAUUCACUUGUAUGGGGCGGGCAAAAGAGACAAACCGAGGAGGCAAUACUUGAUGGAUAACUUGAUAGGUAUCAGAAGAGUUUUUCUCUUUCUGUUGGCGACUUUUUGGUCUUUUUUUCGUAUCAGAGCACAAAACAAGCUAGAAAUACAACAACUAUCACGUAUGCGAUGUAUGAUACAAAAACACUUUGGCGACAAUCAUGGGAACGAUUUUUUUUUUUUUGGAUUUGUGUGCGUCGCUAGCUGCGACCAUUAAAAUGACCAAACCCAAAGAAGAGGUCAGACCGAUAACGAGCGAAAGCUAAAAAGGCAGUUAAGACGGUCUGGCACCUGAUGGUCGUUUUAGCCGAUUUGUAACAGAAAGCUUUCACAUGUGUCUCCAAAAAAAAACUGAAAACCAAACCCAGCCGAUGCCCGGCGACUAAUCAACGACUGAAAUCGAUAAAGUUUCCCAAUGCCAGGGAGACACUGAAGAAACUUAAUUAAAAGGUCUCUGUUAAUGCUGUUAAUUUGAAAAUAUUGUCGAAGGAAACGACCUGACAUACCAGCACACAGACACACACACUAGAUGAGGCUCUCGAAAUCAGACAAAAGAUGCUACGUUAUAAAAUCGUAGAAGAAACGCCAUAAAAAACGGCAGCCAACAGCAUCAACUAAUUUUAUGGCCCCCGCAUUUUGUGUCUGCGUUGACAGACAUCUCGGCGGGAUCGUAUCCCCUCCGGUUUACCACCUGGUUAAUCAGGCCCCAAACGCAGUUGAUCAACAAUUUCAGCCUGAUGACAAACAAGUUCGUUGCCCAACGCAUUUGCUCUAAAUAUUCGGCUAGCAGCAGCACAAACAUCAAAAACCUUUUUCAAUAACAA